rnacentral:rRNA from 1 species
AGACCCGAAACCCGGUGAUCUAGCCAUGGGCAGGUUGAAGGUUGGGUAACACUAACUGGAGGACCGAACCGACUAAUGUUGAAAAAUUAGCGGAUGACCUGUGGCUGGGGGUGAAAGGCCAAUCAAACCGGGAGAUAGCUGGUUCUCCCCGAAAGCUAUUUAGGUAGCGCCUCGUGAAUUCAUCUCCGGGGGUAGAGCACUGUUUCGGCUAGGGGGCCAUCCCGGCUUACCAACCCGAUGCAAACUGCGAAUACCGGAGAAUGUUAUCACGGGAGACACACGGCGGGUGCUAACGUCCGUCGUGAAGAGGGAAACAACCCAGACCGCCAGCUAAGGUCCCAAAGUCAUGGUUAAGUGGGAAACGAUGUGGGAAGGCCCAGACAGCCAGGAUGUUGGCUUAGAAGCAGCCAUCAUUUAAAGAAAGCGUAAUAGCUCACUGGUCGAGUCGGCCUGCGCGGAAGAUGUAACGGGGCUAAACCAUGCACCGAAGCUGCGGCAGCGACGCUUAUGCGUUGUUGGGUAGGGGAGCGUUCUGUAAGCCUGUGAAGGUGGCCUGUGAGGGUUGCUGGAGGUAUCAGAAGUGCGAAUGCUGACAUAAGUAACGAUAAAGCGGGUGAAAAGCCCGCUCGCCGGAAGACCAAGGGUUCCUGUCCAACGUUAAUCGGGGCAGGGUGAGUCGACCCCUAAGGCGAGGCCGAAAGGCGUAGUCGAUGGGAAACGGGUUAAUAUUCCCGUACUUGGUGUUACUGCGAAGGGGGGACGGAGAAGGCUAUGUUGGCCGGGCGACGGUUGUCCCGGUUUAAGCGUGUAGGCUGGUUUUCCAGGCAAAUCCGGAAAAUCAAGGCUGAGGCGUGACGACGAGGCACUACGGUGCUGAAGCAACAAAUGCCCUGCUUCCAGGAAAAGCCUCUAAGCAUCAGGUAACAUCAAAUCGUACCCCAAACCGACACAGGUGGUCAGGUAGAGAAUACCAAGGCGCUUGAGAGAACUCGGGUGAAGGAACUAGGCAAAAUGGUGCCGUAACUUCGGGAGAAGGCACGCUGACACGUAGGUGAAGUGAUUUACUCAUGGAGCUGAAGUCAGUCGAAGAUACCAGCUGGCUGCAACUGUUUAUUAAAAACACAGCACUGUGCAAACACGAAAGUGGACGUAUACGGUGUGACGCCUGCCCGGUGCCGGAAGGUUAAUUGAUGGGGUCAGCGCAAGCGAAGCUCCUGAUCGAAGCCCCGGUAAACGGCGGCCGUAACUAUAACGGUCCUAAGGUAGCGAAAUUCCUUGUCGGGUAAGUUCCGACCUGCACGAAUGGCGUAAUGAUGGCCAGGCUGUCUCCACCCGAGACUCAGUGAAAUUGAACUCGCUGUGAAGAUGCAGUGUACCCGCGGCAAGACGGAAAGACCCCGUGAACCUUUACUAUAGCUUGACACUGAACAUUGAGCCUUGAUGUGUAGGAUAGGUGGGAGGCUUUGAAGUGU